UCUCCACUCUCCCAACCAGAGGGCCGGGGAGGGGGAGCGGGAGGAGGGGCGGUGCAGGGGCGGGUCUCCUCCGAGCAGGGUGGCCCUCAGCACCCCUUCCCAGACGUGUGCCUGGCACACCCACACUCUCGCACGGAAAAGCCCCACUUCUCCUCAGCGUCUGGGUGCUGGGCCGUGCCGGGCCCUCCCCCGUGGAACUGAGAUUUAUGAAGCCGUAACCGGCCAGCGCCGCGGCAACCUCCGCUUAAUCCUGGAGCCAGGCCGGCCUCCUGCGCCGCAGAGGGGAGGGCGCUCGGUGGGCGCUGGGCGGAGGCGUGGGACCGGCAGAAGGCGGCUGGGAGCUCUUCCCAGGAAAGGCCAGCACCUGAGGUUGCACUUUCUCCCCGUUUCCCCUCAGUGAAAGACGCACCAGCAACUUAGAAUUCGAGGCACUGCGGAGCUGGAAGGGGCCUCGGCGCUGCUCCCUCCGCCCCCUCAUUUCACAAACCGGAAAGCUGAGACCCAAAGCAAGGAAGGGACUUGGCCAAGUUGAAGAGAUGAAGGCACAGAGGCAUGAACUCCCGUAGCCAGAGAGUGUGAGCUGGACUCUACCUGGAGCAGCCUCGGUGCAGAGCCCAUGCCCCCAACCAUGUCCGUGGUCGAGGCCCAGCCCAGACAGGGCACCAAGGGGCUGAGGAAGAGGAAGUAAGAUGCCAGGGUUGCCAUG
rnacentral:lncRNA from 1 species